rnacentral:rRNA from 1 species
GAGUGUCCGGUUAAGUCCGGUAACGAGCGCAACCCUCGCUGUGUGUUAUAUGUGUCACACGGGACUGCCGGUAUCAAGCCGGAGGAAGGUGGGGAUGACGUCAAGUCAGCAUGGCCUUUAUGUCUGGGGCUACACACACGCUACAAUGGCCAGUACAAUAGGUUGCAAGACCGCGAGGUGGAGCCAAUCCUUAAAGCUGGUCUCAGUUCGGAUUGCAGGCUGCAACUCGCCUGCAUGAAGUCGGAGUUGCUAGUAAUCGCGGAUCAGCAUGCCGCGGUGAAUACGUUCCCGGGCCUU